GUGUGUGACGUCGGUGUGAAAGUCGACGACGUUUCCGACCCGUCUGAAACACGGAUUACGGAGUGUUUGUCUGCUGCGAGUCAAAGGGUGUAAAAACCUUGCGGCGCAAUGAAAGUGAAGGUUAGUCUCGAACUGACCGACGUGGGAUCCGUGCUCUUCGGAGUGCGGCGCACCACGGCCCUAUGCGUGUCACUUGUGACUGUGUAGAGGUUGAGCAGUAGGCAAGCGACCCGAAAGAUGGUGAACUAUGCCUGAGCAGGAUGAAGCCAGAGGAAACUCUGGUGGAAGUCCGUAUCGGUUCUGACGUGCAAAUCGAUCGAUAGACUUGGGUAUAGGGGCGAAAGACUAAUCGAACCAUCUAGUAGCUGGUUCCUUCCGAAGUUUCCCUCAGGAUAGCUGGAACUCUUGCAGUUAUAUUCGGUAAAGCUAAUGAUUAGAGGCCUUGGGGACGUAAUGUCCUCAACCUAUUCUCAAACUUUCAAUGGAUAUGGCGUCGCAGUUUCUUUAGUGAACUGCGGCGUGAAUGCGAGUUCCAAGUGGGCCAUUUUUGGUAAGCAGAACAGGCGCUGUGGGAUGAACCAAACGUGGAGUUAAGGUGCCUAACUUCUCGCUUAUGAGACCCCAUAAAAGGUGUUGGUUGAUAUUGACAGCAGGACGGUGGCCAUGGAAGUCGGUACCCGCUAAGGAGUGUGUAACAACUCACCUGCCGAAUCAACUAGCCCUGAAAAUGGAUGGCGCUUAAGCGAGAGACCUAUACUCCGCCGUCGCGGCAUGUGCGUUGUCUAGCGCCAGGUCGCGACGAGUAGGAAGGACGUGGCGGUUGCGUUGAAGGCUAUGAGCGUAGGCUCGGCUGGAGCUUCCGUCAGUGCAGAUCGUAAUGGUAGUAGCAAAUAUUCAAGUUCGAUCCUUGAAGACUGAAGUGGAGAAGGGUUCCACGUGAACAGUAGUUGGAUGUGGGUCAGUCGAUCCUAAGGUACUGGCGAAAGCCUUGUAUCAUCGGUGGCGAAAAGCUUGCUUUUUGUCCCCGCCCGUCGAAAGGGAAUAGGGUUAAUAUUCCCUAACUGAGAUGCAAAGAUUGUGUUCUUCGGAGCACAAGCGCGGUAACGCGUUCGAACUUGGUAAGUCGCUCAGAGACCGAGCUAGAGUUUUCUUCUCUAGUUAAGGAACGGACUCCCUGGAAUUGGUUCAGCCAGAGAUGGGGACGUUGUUUCCGAAAAGCACCGCGGUUUCUGUGGUGUCUC
rnacentral:ncRNA from 1 species